AAGUGCGCGGGUAGGAGCGGAAGCGCACGCCUGCUAGGAUCAGCGGUGGUGGUUCCGCGAUGGUAGGCGGCGGCGGCCUCCUGGAAAAUGCCAACCCCCUCAUCUACCAGCGCUCUGGGGAGCGGCCUGUGACGGCAGGCGAGGAGGACGAGCAGGUUCCCGACAGCAUCGACGCACGCGAGAUCUUCGAUAUCCGCCGCUGCUGGGCGCGGGCGGGUUCCGGGGGCUUGCGGUGGGGGGAGCAGUGAUGUCGAGCAGCUGGUGGAGCCGCAUCCCAGCAGGGCGUUCCUGGUAGAGGGUUCUGAGUGGGCAAGGGGGCAGAGUCCCUUUUCCUUCACUUCCCACAUCUGAUUCGCUCCAUUAAUGACCCGGAGCAUCCACUGACGCUAGAGGAGUUGAACGUAGUAGAGCAGGUGCGGGUUCAGGUUAGCGACCCCGAGAGUACAGUGGCUGUGGCUUUCACACCAACCAUUCCGCACUGCAGCAUGGCCACCCUUAUCGGCCUGUCCAUCAAGGUCAAGCUUCUGCGCUCCCUUCCUCAGCGUUUCAAGGUCAGUUGGAACUGAGCCCCGGGAGUGAGACCGGGCAUAGAGGGUCUACUGCUGAGGAUGGGGACUGGGAGAGCAUGAACAUGGAGAGGACAUCAGAGUGGGGCCUGGAAGGAUCCCCAUUAGCAGAGAGGAAACUGGGAGGAAG
rnacentral:sRNA from 1 species